UACGUAGGGUGCGAGCGUUGUCCGGAAUUACUGGGCGUAAAGAGCUCGUAGGUGGUUUGUCGCGUCGUCUGUGAAAUUCCGGGGCUUAACUUCGGGCGUGCAGGCGAUACGGGCAAUACUUAAGUGCUGUAGGGGAGACUGGAAUUCCUGGUGUAGCGGUGGAAUGCGCAGAUAUCAGGAGGAACACCGAUGGCGAAGGCAGGUCUCUGGGCAGUAACUGACGCUGAGGAGCGAAAGCAUGGGUAGCGAACAGGAUUAGAUA
rnacentral:rRNA from 1 species